UUUUAGAUUGGGAGAAUGUAAGACUUUUUACAAAAUUUCUUGGUAUGUUCUAUGAGACAACUUUAAGAUUUUCUGGUUCUUUAUUUGUGACUACUAAUGUGUAUUUUCAUGAGCUUGUUAGUCUUCAAGACCAGUUAAAUCAAUUGUGUAAUGGUAGGGGUGAUUCUUUGUUAAAGGGUAUGGCACAAAGAAUGAAAUUGAAGUAUGAUAAGCAUUGGGGAAGUGUUGAUAGGAUGAAUCCAAUGUUGUUUGUGGCUGUUGUGGUUGAUCCUAGAUAUAAAUUGAAAUAUGUGAAGUUUUGGUUUAAGCAAUGGUAUGACAAGGAGAAGGCUGAUGAGUUAGGAUUGAAAGUUAGGGAAGCUUUGAAUAGAUUGUACAGGCACUAUAGUGAAGCAAUGGGGACCCUAUGUGGUGCUGGUGUUGGUGCUAGUGCUAGUGGGACUAGUGAGUUUGGUAGUAGUGAUGUUGCUACCAUGUCCUCCAUGCUAAGUGGCUUUAGUAGUGCAGAAGAGAGGAUGAAGAGGUACAAUAACAUUUACAAACAACACUUAGCAGAUGAGGAUAAUGUAGAAUGCAAAUCUGAAUUGGACUGACACUUGUUAGAAGCUAGUGUAGAUCCGAAGACGAAAGGCUUUGAUAUUCUUGAUUGGUGGAGGGUGAAUUCUUCAAGAUAUAGGAUCCUCUCUCAAGUUGUCCGUGAUGUUUUGGCAAUUCUUGUCUCCACUGUUGCAUCCGAAUCUGCAUUUAGCACAGAGGGUCAUGUCUUGGAUUCUUUCUGUAGCUUAUUGUCUUCCAAUAUUGUUGAAGCUUUGAUUUGUAUAUAAAAUUGGUUCAGGUCCAAAGAUUCAACUAAACCAAUUAACCUACGAGAGGCAAUGGAUGAAGUGGAAAACUAUGAACUUGAAUCAGAGCUUGCACCAAAACCCAUUGUGGGUACAGAUUCUGUUCUAGACUGAUUUGGAAGGUGGGGUUGUCUUUUGGACUUAGCUACCUAAGGAUGAAGUUUUUUGUAUAUGAUGACUUAGAGUUGGAGUUGUUGGCUGGCUGAUUGCAGAAAUUUUUUGUGGUUGAAUUGCUGACUUAAUCAUGGAGAAGACCAAAUUAGGAGUGUUUGGGUGCUUGGGUUGCUGCUGGUUGCAAGCUUGAUGCUUCUUUGUUGCUCUCUGCUUUAUUUUUGUUUACUAGAUGCACACAUGGCAACACAAGUACUAAACAAAUACACUAUUAGUCUUAGUAGACUAGACUGCCUCCAUUUUUUGUCCAAAAUAUGUAGUUGUGUAGUGUACCAAUUGUAUAUUCUGGUUCAACAUCCAUUAUGUAUAUUUGUAUAGUGCUUCUCUAGCACUACUUGACUAUUUUGUAGUACUGCACUACUACUUCUUCUUGGAGUUGUGCUACUGCUU